UGCUCAAUCUUUAUUUUGACUGUCUAGGGAUUUGUGUUCUGUUGUUUGUCUUUUCCUCGUUUUUGUUUUGGUCAUGGUGUUGUGGUUUUUUUUUCUUCAAGUUACAGUCCUCUCGUGAUGUUGCCUUCAAUGAAUUCCUCCUUUCAUAUUUGAAUUGGAAUUAUUUAUAAAACAAUUCGGUCAGUUAUCAUCUUUAACAGAUAUUUCAUAACGAUCUACCAAUUGUGGUGGAGUGUAUAAACCUUGGAAGGAUUACUUAAACUUAAC
rnacentral:lncRNA from 1 species